UCCGUAGGUGAACCUGCGGAAGGAUCAUUGGUU
rnacentral:rRNA from 1 species